GACGAACGCUGGCGGCGUGCCUAAUACAUGCAAGUCGAACGCUUCUUUCCUCCUGGGUGCUUGCACUCGAUUGGAAAGAGGGGUGGCGGACGGGUGAGUAACACGUGGGUAACCUAUCCAUCAGAGGGGGAUAACACUUGGAAACAGGUGCUAAUACCGCAUAACAGUUUAUGCCGCAUGGCAUAAGAGUGAACGGCGCUUUCGGGUGUCGCUGCUGGAUGGACCCGGGGUGCAUUAGCUAGUUGGUGAGGUAACGGUUCACCAAGGCGACGAUGCAUAACCGGCCUGGGGGGUUGAUCGGCCACACGGGAACUGAGACAGGGCCCAGACUCCUACGGGAGGCAGAGGUGGGAAAUUUCGGCCAUGGGCGGAAAGCUGGACCAAGCAAGGCGGGGUGGGUGAAGAGGUUUUCGGAUUGUAAAACACUUUUAGUUGGGAGGAACAGAGGUAUGUUUAAACCAAGCUGCCCUGACGGUACCAAAACAGAAAGCCACGGCUAACUACGUG
rnacentral:rRNA from 1 species